GAUGAACGCUGGCGGCGGGCCUAAUACAUGCAAGUCGAGCGAACGAACGAGAAUCUUUCUUCUCUGAUGUUAGCGGCGGACGGGUGAGUAACACGUGGAUAACCGACCUAUAAGACUGGGAUAACGUCGGGAAACCUAAGCUAACACAGGACCAUAUGGUGAAAGGGAGGGAUCAACAGUGAAAGACGGUCUUGCUGUCACUUAUAGAUGGAUCCUCGCUGGAUUAGCUAGUUGGUAAGGUAACGGCCUACCAAGGCAACGAUGCAUAGCCGACCUGAGAGGAUGAUCGGCCACACUGGAACUGAGACACGGUCCAGACUCCUACGGGAGGCAGCAGUAGGGAAUAUUCGACAAUGGGCGAAAGCCUGACGGAGCAACGCCGCGUGAGUGAUGAAGGUCUUCGGAUCGUAAAACUCUGUUAUUUGGGAAGAACAUAAGUGUAAGUAUCUCUUCAUAUCUUGACGGUACCUACAGAGAAAGCCACGGCUAACUACGUG
rnacentral:rRNA from 1 species